CUUCUUCUUCAGGACAGGGGAGGAGUUCCAGUUCAGGCAGGGCCGGCCCAUGAUGUCGACAUUGGCCUUCCCUCGUUGCAUCGUUGAAUGUUGGAGAAGUACUUGUAGGACACACAUGUUCCUCCAUUCAGACAGCCACAGUUCACUGGAGAGCACAAAUGUGAGGAAUGUAAGUUCUGCCAGGACAGGAAUUUUGUCUGACUGUCCUCUUCUGCUUCCCACGUGACUGGAACAUAGCAGGAGCUCCGUAGAAUGAAUGAAUGGAUGGAUGUCCUCUCUGAGUUUAUUUUACAACAUCCCCAACAAAAGGGCAACUAUUGUUUCCUUCCAAGGACUUCAUCCCCCUUACCUUCCAAUACCUCCCUGACAACUGCCUCAUUCCCUCCAGUCUGAAGAAAAGUCAAUGCAAAAUGGUUGCCCUGAAAUAUCCAGCGUGGAAUCCUUACUCCCAGCGAAGAGGUGAGGUCCUUGCUGGAACAGCAGGGUCAUAGAUCAGUUUUACAUUUUCCCCUGGGAUAGGCUCAGGGGUCUCCAGGGCAGCCCUAGUCUGGGCUUGUUCUGACCUUGCCCAUCCCUCUCCACUGCACAUUAAUGAAUAUAAGGUUUUAAGGAUCAGCAUCUGGAGGUCAGGAACCAAGUUGCCUUGAGCACCGGCUAAGGGGACACUUUGAUGAACUGGUAGGUGGCCCCCAGAGUUGUGCUUCUUGUUUUUACCCACAGCUGGGGGCAGCUGCCUCCAUUUCUAGAAUGCAGGUGACUAGCUGUCACUUCUGCCUUGAAGGUGGAUGACAGAAACUCAAGACUUACUCUCAUACACAACCUUGUUGCUCUGUCCCACACCAGGACUUGGGACCUACCUGGCUCUCACCCUGGCGCUUCGAGAUAGGAAGUGGCCUUACUCCCCACCGCUUUACUUCCUGUUGCCCUGGGGAGGGGUGGGGCAUGGUGCUCUGUCACCUCCACCCUUUCACUUGGCCCUCUCUGCCCUCCUCCCAUGAAAUCUGUGCAUGCUUUUCCUCUCUGGGCUGCACUCCCUUCUAUUCCCUGAUUACCCCCACUGGGCAGUCUGGUUCUGGAACCAGUUCCCAGGGCUGUUGGGUAAGGAAAGGAAAGGCACCCUCCCUGGGGGUUUUGCUCCACCCACCCCCUUGGGAAGGUGGCCUUCAGCCUCUCAGCUGCCUCUCAACUCCCGGUGGGCAUCCUGCCGUAAUCAAGACUGAGCUGCAGCAGUUGGCAUGAGCUCCACCCUGCCCAGUUGGGGCUGCCCAGUUGGGGCUGGUCCCCAAAUCAGGAAUCUGCCCACCCUGUUUCUCCUCCACUGAGACAGUCAGGUGCCUCUGUCCCACCACCCUGUGAUGACAGGGACAAAGGAACAGGUGGCAACUCCCUCUGCCAGUGCCCCAAGGAGCCCUUUCAUUCCACGGAUUUAUAUAUUGGGGGUCUGUGGCUGGCUGAUUAUACAAUGGUGAACAAAGGAGGUGGAGGCCCUGCCCUGCUUGAGCCUACAAUUUAGUGAGGAGGCAAAUAUUAAACAAAUAAUAAUAGCUAACUCUCAUAUAAUUCUGAUUAGGUACUAGGUGCUACUCUAACUGCUUUACAUGAUUCAGUCCAUUUAACGCUCACAACCCUACGAGGGUGAUACUAUUAUUCCCAGUUUUCAGAUAAGGUAACUGAGGCACAGAAAGAUUAAGUGACUUGACCAAGGUCACACAGCUGGUCAGUGAAUUGCCCAGAACUCCAAGCCAGGCAGUCGGACUCCAGGGUUCACGCUUUUUACUACUGUGCUCUAGGGCUCCCGCUUCUCAUACCAGUAAAUGUAUCAUUACAAAAAGUGUUAAGUGCCAUAAAAGUAUGGGGUGUUCUGCAAGAAAAUGGGGAUAUUUUCUCCUUCUUUCCACUUGCCCUUUUAGCCUGGAUGCACAAAUCCUUUUCUAAUAUUUUCCACUUCAUCCCUUUCACUAUUAGCUUGAAAGAGAACAUCCUCUCAUUUCUAAGGUUGGAGUGCAGGGAGGCACAGUUUCACCUGCAUCCUUGUACCCCCUCUUCCCGUGGUCUCCCUGAUCAAACUGUGCCUAAAGCAUUUCUUCCAAUAAUGGCCCUGAUGCUUGCUCAAGUCUAGACCGUCAUCUCCCCGAGGGAAGGCUGCUGGAAGGUGACUCUGCACCGGCUGGGGGUAUGCGGGGUGGUGGUGGUGACUCCUGAGUGUGCAGGCUGACAUAGGUUUUUUGACCUUGGCCCUCUCUGCACAUCAUGUGAGCCGGGCUGGGGGCUUAGGACCCCGUGUGUUGGGUCCCUCAAGGAGCUCGGUGGUCCAGCCCCCUACACCUCAUCCAACACACACACAUCCUCGCGCGCACCUUCCCGAGCCCAUGCAGGGUACUCCCGGGGACGAGCCCACAGGUCGCAAACCUUUCAACUUCCUAUGCUGGGGUGGCCUGGGGCUGGGACACCCCCUCCCCGCGGCUCCCGUGCGCUCCCGGCUCUGCCAGGGCGGCACCCGAG